rnacentral:rRNA from 1 species
UACGUAGGGUGCGAGCGUUGUCCGGAAUUAUUGGGCGUAAAGAGCUUGUAGGCGGUUUGUCGCGUCUGCCGUGAAAGCCCAGGGCUUAACCCUGGGUCUGCGGUGGGUACGGGCAGACUAGAGUGUGGUAGGGGAGACUGGAAUUCCUGGUGUAGCGGUGAAAUGCGCAGAUAUCAGGAGGAACACCGAUGGCGAAGGCAGGUCUCUGGGCCACUACUGACACUGAGGAGCGAAAGCGUGGGGAGCGAACAGG